GGAGUUGGCCAGGUUGUCGCGGCGUCUUUCGAGGCGUCGAGGAAAGUCCGGGCUCCACAGGGCACGGUGCCAGGUAACGCCUGGGCGGCGCGAGUCGACGGAAAGUGCAGCAGAGAGUAGACCGCCGAUGGCCGCAGCAAUGCGGCACAGGUAAGGGUGAAAGGGUGCGGUAAGAGCGCACCGCACGCGUGGCAACACGGCGUGGCACGGCAAACCCCACCGGGAGCAAGGCCAAAUAGGGGAACAAUGGCGUGGCCCGCGCUGUUCCCGGGUAGGCUGCUCGAGCGCAACGGUGACGUUGCGCCCAGAUGAAUGGCAACCCACGACAGAACCCGGCUUAUCGGCCGACUCCACCC
rnacentral:RNase_P_RNA from 3 species